CAGCCGCCGCGGUAAUACGGAGGAUCCAAGCGUUAUCCGGAAUCAUUGGGUUUAAAGGGUCCGUAGGCGGUCUUGUAAGUCAGUGGUGAAAGCCCAUCGCUCAACGGUGGAACGGCCAUUGAUACUGCAGGACUUGAAUUAUUGGGAAGUAACUAGAAUAUGUAGUGUAGCGGUGAAAUGCUUAGAGAUUACAUGGAAUACCAAUUGCGAAGGCAGGUUACUACCAAUUGAUUGACGCUGAUGGACGAAAGCGUGUGUAGCGAACAGGAUUAGAUACCCCGGUAGUCCCUGUCUCUUAUAC
rnacentral:rRNA from 1 species